UUCUUCGGGGCAGGGUGACUGAUUUGCAUUUGGAUAUCGGAAUUCCCUACCGGCGGGAUAGUCCGCGAGCCGUUUCUACGGUUGAUUUGGUGAAAUUCCAAAACCGACAGUAAAGUCUGGAUGAGAGAAGA
rnacentral:ncRNA from 1 species